rnacentral:lncRNA from 1 species
UUAUGAACAAGGUUUGCACAAAAGAAUCGAAAAGCUCCAUGAGAAAAAGCAAAAGAAACAUGAUAAACUUGAGUCGUGAUCAUAAUGUAAAUUUUCCUGAGAUGAAAUCUACUAUUUUCAGUCUUUCCUGAUGAUUAGGGGUGGCAAAAUGGGUGGGUUGGGUAGGUUUGGGUAAUGGGUUAGGAUGGGCAUGGGUUAGAAUGGGUUUGGGUUAAGAUGGGUUUAUUGAGAGAUGGGUUAGAAUGGGUUUAGAUCAAGAUGGGUUUUUGUCAAAAAAAAUCAAAAAAUAAAAAAAAAUAAAAAAAUUCAAAAAAAUUCAAAAAAUUCAAAAAAUUCAAAAAAUUCAAAAAAAUUCAAAAAAAAAAUCAAAAAAUUCAAAAAAAUUCAAAAAAAUUCAAAAAAAUCAAAAAAAAUCAAAAAAUUCAAAAAAAAAUCAAAAAAUUCAAAAAAAAUUCAAAAAAAUAAAAAAAAUUCAAAAAAAAAUCAAAAAAUUCAAAAAAAAUUCAAAAAAAUAAAACAUAUAUUAACCCAGAUGGUUCCAGAUCACCACCCAAAACUUUUAAUAAUAAUGCUUGAUCUAUUGAAUGGUCUUUACUCGAACUGAAUGAACUAACUUCAUCUUCGAACUCAGGAUUAGUCGACAUAAUUUGUCUCCUACAAAUAAAUAAACAAAUAUACUCUAUUAAUCAUUCUCCAUAGAAUCAAUGAUAAUCGACUAAUUCUAAAAGUCAACUUAACAAAAUAACGAUGAGAAAAACAUCUGAGAGAGGCAUAGCUUAACAUAUCGAGUUCAAACAACGUUCUUUAAUCUAUUUCGUCAACUAAUAAAAAAUGACACCAAAACCCCGAGCAACAAAUGAGUAUGAGACAUUACAUCGAGCAUAUGCAAUGCAUCUCAAACCACAAAUAUUCAUCCCCAUCUUAUAUGCAUAUAAUAAAAACAUAUAGAUAUCGAAAACGAUGUUGAUGAACAGAAGGCGGGAAAAUCAAAUUCACUGAUAAAGUUACAAUAACAUAACCAUACACUAAUCUACAUCUACAUUUCACUAUAAAGUAUAUUGCUUUUAACGUCAUACCCAUCUAACAAAUUCUACUGAGACAUUUUAUCGAACACAUGGAGCGCGUCUCAAAUGACCCAACAAAUAAAAAAGAUUCAAUCCCACAUCACAGAAUUCAUGCUUAUAUCUAUAAAACACAUAAAUAAUAUGAAUAAUCUACAUAUUACAAUCAGAAGUGCAAUAAUCAUCUAUAAUCGUUAAAAUUAACAAACAACUGAAAUUACUACUGACACUAAAUCUACAAAAAAAAAAAAAAAAAAAACAAUGCGAAAUUGCAAUUAGAUUUACCUGAUUCAAAACAAAUUGAUAGAAGUAUUGAAUCUGCAACAAUAUAAGGAAAAAUUAGAUUGAUAAAUUGAUUGUUAUAAUCAUUAACGAACUGCUUACAGCUUACGUUUAAUCGCAAAACAAUAAAAGAGACGGUUACAUGUUCAAUAAUCGAACGUAGAUACAGCUUCUCACCGGUCUCCGACGACCAGAUAUGUGGCAGAAUUACUCUAGGGCUUCGAUUGUGAAAGAUUCUUCGGAGACUCGAUCUGAGGAAGACUACAACUAUGGAUUUAAUGGUGGAAGUGAUCUCCGGCGACGCGUGUAUUAGGGUUUUAGAUAGAGUUAAAGUCAAUUUAGGAGUCCUAGUUCAGUAAGUUUCGUAUUGUUGGUAGCUUUAUAAAUAGGGCAUUAUUAAUUGUAAUUUGCAUCCUUUCAAUUUAAUAAAAAGUGUCGCUAAAAGUUUUAGCAAUUCUGUGUGUUGUGAACGAUCUGGGAGAUUUGAGUUCAAAGGCCAGGAGUCAACAUAAAGCUCCCAGAUUGAAUUAGGUUCGAGGCGUUUGAAAGAUUUCAAGAUCAUAAAGGAAUACUACUGACAUUGAGUUGUCCAUUGAGGCACAUCGCAAACAUGGAACGGAUUACAUGACGUAUUAUGUGUUCGUUAGCUAUUACAAAGCAAAGGAUAAAUCAAAAUUCUUGAAAGUAAAUUUAUGAAGCAACGGAUUCCACCCACUUGGCUGAUUAAAAAGACUUGAAAGAAUAGGAUGAAUCAGAAUUCUUGAAAGUAAAUUUACACAUGGUUUUCAAACGACACUUGUACUAUCAAACUAUAUAAAGGUAUAAAAUAAGAACAAUACAAAGCUUAUAAGAAGAGCAAUAGCUGCAUCAAUGGAUAGUGCUGGGAAACCACAAACAAAGUUGCCUGCUCUCUACAUUCUUUCAAGAGGUAGGUCCUGAAAACUGACAAAGAAUGUUACAUACUAUACUUCAACAAGAUUGAGUGAGUUUGGGGAACUAUUUGAAGAUGAUCGUGAUUAUGAUAUUCAAAGUGAAGACGAGAUUGUCGAGGAAGAAAUAUGCGGGGAGGAUAAUUGCAAGGUAGAAAAGACUUCUGAUGUUAAGGCCUUGGAGGUAGUGUGUAUAGUUUCAGUUGAAUUGAGGUAACAUUGUUCAAAAUCGUAAUAGUCAGUAAUAUUUGGUAUUUUUUGUAGGGGUAUAUAGCUAGGUUGG